rnacentral:rRNA from 1 species
AUUGAACGCUGGCGGCAUGCUUUACACAUGCAAGUCGAACGGUAACAGGGAGCUUGCUCCGCUGACGAGUGGCGAACGGGCGAGUAAUGCGUCGGAACGUGCCGAGUAGUGGGGGAUAACGCAUCGAAAGGUGUGCUAAUACCGCAUACGAACUGAGGUUGAAAGUGGGGGACCUUCGGGCCUCACGCUAUUCGAGCGGCCGACGUCUGAUUAGCUAGUUGGUGAGGUAUAGGCUCACCAAGGCGACGAUCAGUAGCGGGUCUGAGAGGAUGGUCCACCACACAUGGACUGAGACACGGCCCAGACUCCUACGGGAGGCAGCAGUGGGGAAUUUUAGACAAUGGGCGCAAGCCUGAUCCAGCCAUGCCGCGUGUCUGAAGAAGGCCUUCGGGUUGUAAAGGACUUUUGUCCGGGAGCAAAUGCUGAUUGCUAACAUCCACCGGAGCUGAGAGUACCGGAAGAAUAAGCACCGGCUAACUACGUGCCAGCCGCCGCGGUAACAC